rnacentral:rRNA from 1 species
AGUGAACGCUGGCGGCAUGCUUUACACAUGCAAGUCGAACGGCAGCGCGGUCUUCGCCUUCGCUGCGGGGGGGCGAGGGGCGGGCAAGUCAGGGGUACAUCGCCAGCUACUUUUGCGAGGGGGGUGACGUCGGGAAACUUACCCUAAUACCGCAUACGACCUACGGGUGGGAGCAGGGGAUCUUCGGCCCUUGCGCGAGUGAAUGAGCCGAUGUCGGAUUAGCUAGUUGGCGGGGUAAAGGCCUACCAAGGCGACGAUCGGUAGCUGGUCUGAGAGGAUGAUCAGCCACACUGGAACUGAGACACGGCCCAGACUCCUACGGGAGGCAGCAGUGGGGAAUUUUGGACAAUGGGCGCAAGCCUGAUCCAGCCAUGCCGCGUGUGUGAUGAAGGCCUUCGGGUUGUAAAGCACUUUUGGCGGGAAAGAAAAGGAGUGGGUUAAUACCACGGUGCGAUGACGGUACCCGAAGAAUAAGCACCGGCUAACUACGUG